rnacentral:lncRNA from 1 species
AGGAGAAUAGGGAAUUAGGGUAACCAAGGGUUAAGGCAUAAGCAAAGGAACAGCAGGUGCAGCCAGUUCUAGGCAAGAUUAGGCAGCAUACAGGCCACAACCUCACUCCUGUGAUAACAAAACGGAAGUUUCCACUUCAGCCUCUGAUUGGUUGGGGGCCCAUCCAUCAUAGCGGGUAACCAAUUGGAGGCCUCUAAAGGGAAUCUAGGGGUGUUACCAAAUUAUUUCAGCUUAACAAAAACCCCAAAGAACAUUCUAAAUGGGGCUCUUGAGCUGCUUCGUUGAUCGAGCCAACUCUCACUCUAUAGAGUGUACUUUCACUUCAAUAAACCUGCACUUUCGUUGCUUCCUUCCUUUGUUGCUUUGUGCAUUUUAUUAAAUCCUUUGUCCAACACGCCAAGAACCUGGACAACUCACAGUCACGACUUCCUAUCUGGUAACACUCAUUCCUUUGCAAAAUGUUUCUUGAUCUCUGUUAAAAGGCAAGUACAUGGUAAGGUGCUCUUAUUCAUGUACUCCUCCAGGUGAAUGAUUUGAUGUCUUCCCUUCCUAAAACCAGGUUUUUAUGGGAGAGGAAGAAGUGGGGAGUAUGAAGACCCCAGGAAAAGAGUUUUUAAAGAGGAGGAGAUCCAAUUUCACACCUUUGAGUAGUCCAGCUCUGGAAUCCAGUACAGGAUUUUUGGAAGAUUCACCAAGAUCCAUCUUUCCUUUUCCUGCUAUUCUUUCCAAAUAGGUAAAGAAGUAGCUGAGGGAAACGCAGCUUUGUGAGGGAAGCCUGGAGCGUGAGAAAUCUGCUCACACUGGAUUCUGCCUCGGGCUCGACAGAAUGUCACAGCAGACCCGCGAUGUGACAGGCUCACUGGUGUACACACGGCUGUGUCGGCCAUGGCCCUGUCAGCUACCCUGAAGCUUCAGAUCUACUUCCUGGCUCAGACCACCUGCAACACACUGAUUACCUGGCACUUGUCCAGUCUUUCUGCAGUCAACAUCGCCCAGAUUCCAUGCAGAACCCUUUGCAGACUCCUGAGGAGGUACAGACAAGGAGUGUCCCUGUCCUCAUGGUGCUACAUGAAAAGGGAUCAGGACAGCAUAGUGUGUCCUCUGUCUUGAGAAGUUCGCAUCCAGCUCUGCCAUGGACCAGCCAUGCUCAUGGAUUGCCUCUCAUUUUGCUACGGACAGGAGACAGGAAAAUACUGGGUAGAAGAGGGCGGUUCCCGACAAAGGCCCCAACCUCAAGCCUGAAGACCCACGACCCUAAAUGAGGACAGCCAUUUCUGAUUUUGUGCCCAAAAAUUUGCCUUUUGGCCUGCCACACCCAACAUCUUGCCCCUAUAUAAACCCGAGACCUUAGCGGGCACACACACAAUCAGCCAAAUGUUGGGAUUAGCAGACCAGUGGACCAGCGGACCAGCAGACCAGUUAACGGUGGAACAACGCAGCAGAGAAAGAGAGAAGAGGAGGGAUGUCUGAAUGCCAAGGGGAAUUCGGCCGCGGGCAGUUAGAAAAGUCUGGCUGCUGGGCGGCCCGACUCUAGGGGAAGACCACCUUCCCACUCCAUCCCCUGUUCUGGCUCCCCAUCCAUCUCCCUGAGAGCCACCUCUACCACUCAAUAAAACCUUUCAUUCAUCCUUUGAGCCCAUAUGUGAUUUGAUUCUUUCAGGACGCUCAGCAAGAGCUCAGAAUAUAG